CCUACGGGAGGCAGCAGUGAGGAAUAUUGGUCAAUGGGCUUACGCCUGACCCAGCCAAGUCGCGUGAGGGAAGACUGCCCUAUGGGUUGUAAACCUCUUUUGUCAGGGAGCAACGCCGGCUACGUGUAGCCGGCCUGAGAGUCCCUGCAGAAAAAGCAUCGGCUAACUCCGUGCCAGCAGCCGCGGUAAUACGGAGGAUGCGAGCGUUCUCCGGAUUUAUUGGGUUAAAAGGGUGCGUAGGGGGACUGCCAAGUCAGCGGUAAAAUCGCGGGGCUCAACCGCGCUCCGCCGUUGAAACUGGCGGUCUUGAGUGGGCGAGAAGUAUGCGGAAUGCGUGGUGUAGCGGUGAAAUGCAUAGAUAUAACGCAGAACUCCGAUUGCGAAGGCAGCAUACCGGCGCUCAACUGACGCUGAAGCACGAAAGCGUGGGUAUCGAACAGGAUUAGAUACCCCAGUAGUC
rnacentral:rRNA from 1 species